rnacentral:rRNA from 1 species
CUCCCACCCGUGUCUAUCGUACCUUGUUGCUUCGGCGGGCCCGCCGUUUCGACGGCCGCCGGGGAGGCCUCGCGCCCCCGGGCCCGCGCCCGCCGAAGACCCCAACAUGAACGCUGUUCUGAAAGUAUGCAGUCUGAGUUGAUUACCAUAAUCAGUUAAAACUUUCAACAACGGAUCUCUUGGUUCCGGCAUCGAUGAAGAACGCAGCGAAAUGCGAUAAGUAAUGUGAAUUGCAGAAUUCAGUGAAUCAUCGAGUCUUUGAACGCACAUUGCGCCCCCUGGUAUUCCGGGGGGCAUGCCUGUCCGAGCGUCAUUGCUGCCCUCAAGCACGGCUUGUGUGUUGGGCCCCGUCCCCUCCCCCGGGGACGGGCCCGAAAGGCAGCGGCGGCACCGCGUCCGGUCCUCGAGCGUAUGGGGCUUUGUCACCCGCUCUGUAGGCCCGGCCGGCGCCAGCCGACACCCAACUUUAUUUUCUAAGGUUGACCUCGGAUCAGGUAGGGAUACCCGCUGAACUUAAGCAUAUCAAUAAGCGGAGGA